rnacentral:rRNA from 1 species
ACGCUAUAUCUGAACCUUCGGGGAACGAUAACGGCGUCGAGCGGCGGACGGGUGAGUAAUGCCUAGGAAAUUGCCCUGAUGUGGGGGAUAACCAUUGGAAACGAUGGCUAAUACCGCAUAAUACCUUCGGGUCAAAGAGGGGGACCUUCGGGCCUCUCGCGUCAGGAUAUGCCUAGGUGGGAUUAGCUAGUUGGUGAGGUAAUGGCUCACCAAGGCGACGAUCCCUAGCUGGUCUGAGAGGAUGAUCAGCCACACUGGAACUGAGACACGGUCCAGACUCCUACGGGAGGCAGCAGUGGGGAAUAUUGCACAAUGGGCGCAAGCCUGAUGCAGCCAUGCCGCGUGUGUGAAGAAGGCCUUCGGGUUGUAAAGCACUUUCAGUCGUGAGGAAGGUAGUGUAGUUAAUAGCUGCAUUAUUUGACGUUAGCGACAGAAGAAGCACCGGCUAACUCCGUGCCAGCAGCCGCGGUAAUACGGAGGGUGCGAGCGUUAAUCGGAAUUACUGGGCGUAAAGCGCAUGCAGGUGGUUUGUUAAGUCAGAUGUGAAAGCCCGGGGCUCAACCUCGGAAUAGCAUUUGAAACUGGCAGACUAGAGUACUGUAGAGGGGGGUAGAAUUUCAGGUGUAGCGGUGAAAUGCGUAGAGAUCUGAAGGAAUACCGGUGGCGAAGGCGGCCCCCUGGACAGAUACUGACACUCAGAUGCGAAAGCGUGCGGAGCAAACAGGAUUAGAUACCCUGGUAGUCCACGCCGUAAACGAUGUCUACGUGGAUGUUGUGGCCUUGAGCCGUGUCUUUUCGUAGCUAACGCGUUAAGUAGACCGCCUGGGGAGUACGGGUCGCAAGAUUAUAACUCAAAAGAAUUUGACGGGGGCCCGCACAAGCGGUGGAGCAUGAUGGAUUAAUUUCGAUGCUACGCAUAACACCUUAUCUACUCUUGACAUCCAGAGAACUUUCAGAGAUGGAUUGGUGCCUUCAGGAACUCUGAAACAAGAGCUGCAUG